UUAUUAUAAAUAUAUCUUUAAUAUGAAGGAAAAAAUUUCCAUUUAAUUUCGACUUAAAAAUAUGAUUAAUAAUAUUAAUCCAUAUUAA
rnacentral:tRNA from 1 species